CACUGAACGGUUGAGUUCGGAGCGCAAUCGAAGACAACGACGACGCGUUUUGCUGUAAUCGCAAGCAAAUAUUAAAAGAAUUUAUAUACAUAUACACUAUAUAAAAUUGGCUGCGAGUGAUAAAAGCAUUAAAUAAUAUUGUGAAAUGUAGAGAAUGCGCUCAAGCGCACAUAUCGAAUACAUAAAUAAAACAUCAAGUGAAAAAAAAUGCAUAAAUCUUAGCAUUCGUUCGCAAAAUGCCAACGAACCCUGCAAAAAAGCAACAAA